rnacentral:rRNA from 1 species
UACGGGGGGAGCAAGCGUUGUUCGGAUUUACUGGGCGUAAAGGGCGCGUAGGCGGCCACCGCAAGUCGACUGUGAAAUCUCCGGGCUUAACUCGGAAAGGUCAGCCGAUACUGCGGGGCUAGAGUGCAGAAGGGGCAACUGGAGUUCUCGGUGUAGCGGUGAAAUGCGUAGAUAUCGAGAGGAACACCUGCGGCGAAGGCGGGUUGCUGGGCUGACACUGACGCUGAUUGUGCGAAAGCUAGGGGAGCGAACGGG